rnacentral:rRNA from 1 species
ACGCUCGACACCUACGGGAGGCAGCAGUGGGAAUAUUGCACAAUGGGGAAACCCUGAUGCAGCGAUGCCGCGUGAAGGAAGAAGUAUCUCGGUAUGUAAACUUCUAUCAGCAGGGAAGAAAAUGACGGUACCUGACUAAGAAGCCCCGGCUAACUACGUGCCACAGCCGCGGUAAUCUGAGCGGGCUGGCAAGGC